GCCGAAGGCCGGGGUUACGCAAGUUAUCGUUGAGAAGAUCCACCAUGAAUGGCGGAGAUCGGAGGUUGUCCGGCUUAAGUUCCAUGAGGACCUGGCUCACGAUAUGAAGACAGCUCACAAGCUUGUCGAGCAACGAACGGGUGGAUUGGUCAUAUGGAGAUCAGGGAGUGUGAUGGUGGUUUAUAGGGGAAGUAACUAUAAGCACCCUUCAAGAUCUCAAUCUUCUGAUGCUGAAAAUAUCUCCACAAAAACGUCACAUGAAGGCGAGAACCUAUUUAU
rnacentral:misc_RNA from 1 species